rnacentral:rRNA from 1 species
UGGGGAAUAUUGCACAAUGGGCGAAAGCCUGAUGCAGCGACGCCGCGUGAGGGAUGACGGCCUUCGGGUUGUAAACCUCUUUCAGCAGGGAAGAAGCGAAAGUGACGGUACCUGCAGAAGAAGCGCCGGCUAACUACGUGCCAGCAGCCGCGGUAAUACGUAGGGCGCAAGCGUUGUCCGGAAUUAUUGGGCGUAAAGAGCUCGUAGGCGGUUAGUCGCGUCUGCUGUGAAAACUCGAGGCUCAACCUCGGGCUUGCAGUGGGUACGGGCUGACUAGAGUGCGGUAGGGGUGACUGGAAUUCCUGGUGUAGCGGUGGAAUGCGCAGAUAUCAGGAGGAACACCGAUGGCGAAGGCAGGUCACUGGGCCGCAACUGACGCUGAGGAGCGAAAGCAUGGGGAGCGAACAGGAUUAGAUAGCCCUGGUAGUCCAUGCCGUAAACGUUGGGCACUAGGUGUGGGUCCAUUCCACGGAUUCCGUGCCGCAGCAAAGCGCAUU